ACAGCCCAUUGCAGCCUGCCUGCCAUUAAAGUAUUUAAGUGACUUGCUGAGCAGGGAGAAAAUACUUACCCCAGGGCACCUGAGUGACGUGAAUGUCUCCACCCAGAUGGGAGGCCUUUGAACCUGCUUUAUAGAGCUUUUUAGUUGAGGAAUCACAUUGUAGUGGUCUGCAGAAGAAAUCCUGGUGUUAACAGCGGAAUCUUACAUCUGGAAUGAAGUUCUGCCAUGGUUUAGUCUGAUCUCAUCAUUGUUUUAUUGUCCAGGACCUGACAGUGUGGUGGUGGGUGGCUGGCAUCUCUCCCCUGCCCCAUCCUGGACCACACAGCCAGCCACGCAUUCCCCCCACCCCCUCAGUCUGGAUGAGAGCAGAUUGUUGUCAUUUCAGAAGAACUCAGUCCUUCAGUUAAUGCCCCCUCUUCCCCCCAUAUGAUCAAAAAAGGAGGUCAGUACCAGGGUGACUGAGAUUGACACAGAUGACUUCCUAUCUUGAGGACAACCCCUCCCACAUUAUUCUUCGAAAGCCCCACACAGUCGUGGGCCGGCGUUGAGAAGGCUUUGGCUCUGUGUUCGUGGUGUCUGCCACUUCCAUCUAUUGCUGUCUUCCUGCAACUUCCAGUCACCCCCGGCCACCCGCCCCUCCCCCUUCUCUUCACAGGGAGAGCUGCAGAGGAAGGACCGCGAAGAGUCUGCAGAUGACGGUUUCGAACUUGCCUGAGUUAAAGUGCCUUAAGGCAGGCUCUGAAAGUUUUGUGUUCACAGAAACAUUGGUGCAUUCCAUACAAGGUCAACAUAGAUUUAAAAGCAGACAUACACUUUGAAAAUUUAUUCAUGCUGGAAUCGUGAACAUGGAAUUAAUUAAGUGUGCAGAAGCUGGAAGAUAGAAGGGUCACUGCCUCCAUUUUUGUUCCGUAAAGCACUUUAUUCCACUGGGACGUCAUACGUGGCUGUGGUGCGUGGUAUAUGCUUUCUUCAUGCUGUGUAUUAAUAACCUGAGGAGGUGGAAGCCGGGACAGAUAUAAAGCCGGAAAAUGACGUGUCCUGAAUUUGUUUCUAGGAACGGUAAUCCUAACGAUGCC
rnacentral:lncRNA from 1 species